GCAUAUCAAUAAGCGGAGGAAAAGAAACUAACAAGGAUUCCCUUAGUAACGGCGAGUGAAGCGGGAAGAGCUCAAAUUUGAAAUCUUCAAGGUUCUACCUUGACGAAUUGUAGUUUAAAGAAGUGUUUUCUGUUAGAUGAGUAGCAAAAGUUCCUUGGAAUGGGACAUCAUAGAGGGUGAGAAUCCCGUAUUUGGUUAUUCAUUCUAGCUUUGUGAUACACUUUCAAAGAGUCGGAUUGUUUGGGAAUGCAGUCCAAAAUGGGUGGUAAAUUUCAUCUAAAGCUAAAUAUUGGCGAGAGACCGAUAGCGAACAAGUACCGUGAGGGAAAGAUGAAAAGAACUUUGAAAAGAGAGUUAAACAGUACGUGAAAUUGUCAAAAGGGAAGCGUUUGACACCAGUGUUGUUUUUCCGAAAAUCAAUUACGAAUGGCUUGAUUUUGUGUUGUAUUGACCUUAUCAGCUUUCUGCACUUUUUUCGAGUCUUUCUUAAUGCACUUUUCGGUUAACAAGUCAACAUCAAUUUCUUUUGUUGUAAAAGAGUGUUCGGAAGGUGGCUUUCUUUUCGGAGGAAGUGUUUAUAGCCCUAUACUUCUACAAUCGAAGAGAUUGAGGUCUGCAGCGUAGAUCCUUCGGGGUUAGAUACACUUGUGCUAAGUUGUAGCUUUUCAUAGACAACUUGUUGACUAUGUUUAGUCAUGCGGCUUACUCGCUUGUGCUAUUUUACCUACGCUUAGGAUGUUGACAAAAUGGUUUUAAACGACCCGUCUUGAAACACGGACC
rnacentral:rRNA from 1 species